UAGCUAAUACCGCAUAAAAGUCGACAUUGCAUGAUGUUGACUUGAAAGGUGCAAUUGCAUCACUAAGAGAUGGACCUGCGUUGUAUUAGCUAGUUGGUGAGGUAACGGCUCACCAAGGCGACGAUACAUAGCCGACCUGAGAGGGUGAUCGGCCACACUGGGACUGAGACACGGCCCAGACUCCUACGGGAGGCAGCAGUAGGGAAUCUUCGGCAAUGGGGGCAACCCUGACCGAGCAACGCCGCGUGAGUGAAGAAGGUUUUCGGAUCGUAAAGCUCUGUUGUAAGAGAAGAACGAGUGUGAGAGUGGAAAAUUCACGCUGUGACGGUAUCUUACCAGAAAGGGACGGCUAACUACGUGCCAGCAGCCGCGGUAAUACGUAGGUCCCGAGCGUUAUCCGGAUUUAUUGGGCGUAAAGCGAGCGCAGGCGGUUAGAUAAGUCUGAAGUUAAAGGCUGUGGCUUAACCAUAGUACGCUUUGGAAACUGUUUAACUUGAGUGCAGAAGGGGAGAGUGGAAUUCCAUGUGUAGCGGUGAAAUGCGUAGAUAUAUGGAGGAACACCGGUGGCGAAAGCGGCUCUCUGGUCUGUAACUGACGCU
rnacentral:rRNA from 1 species